AUACGUAGGUUGCAAGCGUUGUCCGGAGUUUACUGGGUGUAAAGGGCGUGUAGGCGGAGAUGCAAGUUGGGAGUGAAAUCCAUGGGCUCAACCCAUGAACUGCUCUCAAAACUGUAUCCCUUGAGUAUCGGAGAGGCAAGCGGAAUUCCUAGUGUAGCGGUGAAAUGCGUAGAUAUUAGGAGGAACACCAGUGGCGAAGGCGGCUUGCUGGACGACAACUGACGCUGAGGCGCGAAAGCGUGGGGAGC
rnacentral:rRNA from 1 species